GGGGGAGAGGGUGUAAGUCUCGCGCCGGGCCGUACCCAUAUCCGCAGCAGGUCUCCAAGGUGAACAGCCUCUGGCAUGUUGGACCAAUGUAGGUAAGGGAAGUCGGCAAGCCGGAUCCGUAACUUCGGGAUAAGGAUUGGCUCUAAGGGCUGGGUCGGUCGGGCUGGGGCGCGAAGCGGGGCUGGGCGCGCGCCGCGGCUGGACGAGGCGCCGCGCG
rnacentral:ncRNA from 1 species